rnacentral:rRNA from 1 species
CCUACGGGGGACAGCAGUCGAGAAUCAUUCACAAUGGGGGAAACCCUGAUGGUGCGACGCCGCGUGGGGGAAUGAAGGUCUUCGGAUUGUAAACCCCUGUCAUGUGGGAGCAAAUUAAAAAGAUAGUACCACAAGAGGAAGAGACGGCUAACUCUGUGCCAGCAGCCGCGGUAAUACAGAGGUCUCAAGCGUUGUUCGGAAUCACUGGGCGUAAGGCGUGCGUAGGCUGUUUCGUAAGUCGUGUGUGAAAGGCGCGGGCUCAACCCGCGGACGGCACAUGAUACUGCGAGACUAGAGUAAUGGAGGGGGAACCGGAAUGCUCGGUGUAGCAGUGAAAUGCGUAGAUAUCGAGAGGAACACUCGUGGCGAAGGCGGGUUCCUGGACAUUAACUGACGCUGAGGCACGAAGGCCAGGGGAGCGAAAGGGAUUAGAUACCCUAGUAGUC